UACGUAGGUGGCGAGCGUUGUCCGGAAUUAUUGGGCGUAAAGAGCAUGUAGGCGGUUUUUUAAGUCUGGAGUGAAAAUGCGGGGCUCAACCCCGUAUGGCUCUGGAUACUGGAAGACUUGAGUACAGGAGAGGAAAGGGGAAUUCCCAGUGUAGCGGUGAAAUGCGUAGAUAUUGGGAGGAACACCAGUGGCGAAGGCGCCUUUCUGGACUGUGUCUGACGCUGAGAUGCGAAAGCCAGGGUAGCGAACGGG
rnacentral:rRNA from 1 species